UACGGAGGAUCCGAGCGUUAUCCGGAUUUAUUGGGUUUAAAGGGUGCGUAGGCGGCCUGGUAAGUCAGGGGUGAAAGACGGUAGCUUAACUAUCGCAGUGCCCUUGAUACUGCUGGGCUUGAAUGUAGUUGAGGUAGGCGGAAUGUGACAAGUAGCGGUGAAAUGCAUAGAUAUGCCACAGAACACCAAUUGCGAAGGCAGCUUACUAAAGUAUGAUUGACGCUGAGGCACGAAAGCGUGGGGAUCAAACAGG
rnacentral:rRNA from 1 species